AGACAGACGAUCGCGGAUGCAGGAGCCGAAAGGCCGCAUACGAGGAAAGUCCGGGCUUCACAGGGCAGGAUGCCGGAUAACGUCCGGUGGAGGCGACUCCAAGGCCAGUGCAACAGAAAUAAACCGCCGGGAAUUUUUCCCGGUAAGGGUGGAAAGGCAGUGUAAGAGACUACCGCCCUGCUGGUAACAGCAGGGGCACAUGUAAACCCCAUCCGAAGUAAGACCGGAUAGAAACGAUGUGGCUGCCCGUCACGUUUCAGGUAGGUCGCUCGAGCGCAGCGGUGACGCUGCGCCUAGACAGAUGAUCGUCCAACGACAUAACCCGGCUUAUCGUCUUGCUUGA
rnacentral:RNase_P_RNA from 1 species